rnacentral:rRNA from 1 species
AACGAACGCUGGCGGCAGGCUUAACACAUGCAAGUCGAACGAGAAAUCACCUUCGGGUGAGAGUAGAGUGGCGCACGGGUGAGUAACGCGUGGGAACGUACCCUAAAGUACGGAAUAGCCCCGGGAAACUGGGAUUAAUACCGUAUACGCCCUUCGGGGGAAAGGUUUACCGCUUUAGGAUCGGCCCGCGUUAGAUUAGUUUGUUGGUGGGGUAAUGGCCUACCAAGACUACGAUCUAUAGCUGGUCUGAGAGGAUGAUCAGCCACACUGGAACUGAGACACGGUCCAGACUCCUACGGGAGGCAGCAGUGAGGAAUAUUGGACAAUGGGGGAAACCCUGAUCCAGCCAUGCCGCGUGAAUGAUGAAGGCCUUAGGGUUGUAAAGUUCUUUCGCUAGUGAAGAUAAUGACGGUAACUAGUAAAGAAGCCCCGGCUAACUUCG